UACGUAGGGGGCAAGCGUUAUCCGGAAUUACUGGGCGUAAAGCGCACGCAGGCGGUUCGCCAAGUUUGGAGUGACAGUUGUCGGCUCAACCGACAAAGGACUUCAAAAACUGGUGAAUUUGAGGACGAGAGAGGAACAUGGAACUCCAGGUGUAGUAGUGAAAUGCGUAGAUAUCUGGAAGAACACCAAUGGCGAAGGCAAUGUUCUGGCUCGUUUCUGACGCUCAGGUGCGAAAGCCAGGGGAGCGAACGGG
rnacentral:rRNA from 1 species